GGAAGUGCUCUGGACUUAGCAACAGGAAGUUAUAAAGGAAACAGGAAGUGCAGGGUUCUUUCUUUAAUCUUCAAGGCUGCCCACAGCAGGCAGCAACAGCAGUGAGCUGCACCUGAAGGGAGCAAAGAGAUGGUCUGCCACAUAUUCACCACAUUGAAUAAGGACUGAAAACUACAAGACACAACAAUAAACUAAUACAAGUUGUUGCUAAUGCUAA